rnacentral:rRNA from 1 species
AUGGUCUUCUGGGAGCGCGACUGGUGGCGCAAGUGGUGGGAGAAGCGCCGGGGGGACUGCUCCGACUGCGAGUGCAGCUGGACCACGGCCAUCGUCUGCCUGGUCAUCCUGGCCGUGCUCGGGGGCGCCCUCGCCCUCCUCAUCCUCGCCUUCGCCGUCGUCAAACCGCCCACGGCCAGCGCCGACGACGCCCUCCUCACACGCUUCGACCUCGCCCCGGCCCCCAACUCCACGUCCACGGCGAGGCCGCCGCUCCAGCUCCUGUCCUACAACGCCACGGUCACCGUCUCCCUGCGCAACCCCAACCUGCACUACGGCAUCACCUUCGGGGCCGUGGCCGCGGCCUUCUCCUUCAACGGCACCCGCUUCGACGAGUCGGGCACCGUGCCGACCCUCGACCUCGGCGCACGGAAGGAGACCACGGUGCGCCUCAGGGUCGGCGCCGUCGGCCGCGCCCUGCCCAAGCUGCCGGCGGCCGGCGCGGUGGAGUUCGCCAAGCAGAAGGAGGCCGGCGUGUUCGACGUGGAGGUGCGGCUGGACACGGUGAUGCAGUACAAGGGGCGCAAGGCCAAGUGCCCCCUGGGGAUCGUCUGCCCGCUCCGGCUGCAGCUCGUCGACCCGGACGUCGCCGCCACCGCCUUCCAGAAGACCAAGUGCACCAUCCUCAGGGCCAAGAUCUCCGGCUGCUAG